AGGGCACCACCAGGAGUGGAGCCUGCGGCUUAAUUUGACUCAACACGGGGAAACUCACCCGGCCCGGACACCGUAAGGAUUGACAGAUUGAUAGCUCUUUCAUGAUUCGGUGGUUGGUGGUGCAUGGCCGUUCUUAGUUCGUGGAUCGAUUUGUCUGGUUUAUUCCGAUAACGAGCGAGACUCUAGCCUACUAAAUAGUAACGAGAUUAUCACUGUCUCAGUUGCUUCUUAGAGGGAUUUUCGGUGUUUAGCCGCACGAGAUUGAGCAAUAACAGGUCUGUGAUGCCCUUAGAUGUCCGGGGCUGCACGCGCGCUACACUGGCGAAAUCAGCGUGCUGUAUCCAUUCUCGAAAGGGAUUGGUAAACCCAUGAAAAUUUGCCGUGCUUGGGAUCGGAAAUUGCAAUUAUUUUCCGUGAACGAGGAAUUCCAAGUAAGUGCGAGUCAUCAACUCGCUCUGAUUACGUCCCUGCCCUUUGUACACACCGCCCGUCGCUGCCCGGGACUGAGCCAUUUCGAGA
rnacentral:rRNA from 1 species